rnacentral:rRNA from 1 species
UGUUUAAUUGGAGGGCAAGUUUUGGUGCCAGCAGCCGCGGUAAUUCCAACUCCAAGAGUGUAUCUUAAUGUUGCUGCAGUUAAAAAAGCUCGUAGUUGAACUUCUGGCUAGUGGAGGUCCCCCGGGAUCAUUCGCUAGUCAUCCGCUCGGAGAAGCAGUAUUUCCUUUACUGGUUUUACUGUAGACCCCAGCAUUUUACUUUGAAGAAAUUAGAGUGUUCCUGGCAGGCUUAGCUUGCAUAUAUUAGCAUGGAAUAAUGGAAUAGGACCUUGUCUGUUUUAUUGGUUGACAGAUAGGUAAUGAUUAACAGGGACAGUCGGGGCGAUUCGUACUCAGUGGCUAGAGGUGAAAUUCUUAGAUUCGCUGAAGACGAACUAAUGCGAAAAGCAUUUGCCAAGGAUGUUUUCAUUAAUCAAGAACGAAAGUUAGGGGAUCAAAGACGAUUAGAUACCGUCGUAGUCCUAGCCAUAAACUAUACCGACUAGGGAUUGGUGUGGGUCAUAUCCAUAUCAGCACCUAAUG